rnacentral:rRNA from 1 species
CACGUAGUUAGCCGGUGCUUCUUCUGCAGGUACCGUCACUUGCGCUUCUUCCCUGCUGAAAGAGGUUUACAACCCGAAGGCCGUCAUCCCUCACGCGGCGUCGCUGCAUCAGGCUUGCGCCCAUUGUGCAAUAUUCCCCACUGCUGCCUCCCGUAGGAGUCUGGGCCGUGUCUCAGUCCCAGUGUGGCCGGUCGCCCUCUCAGGCCGGCUACCCGUCGUCGCCUUGGUAGGCCAUCACCCCACCAACAAGCUGAUAGGCCGCGGGCUCAUCCUGCACCGCCGGAGCUUUCCACACGGAGACCAUGCGAUCCCGUGUCAUAUCCGGUAUUAGACCCCGUUUCCAGGGCUUGUCCCAGAGUGCAGGGCAGAUUGCCCACGUGUUACUCACCCGUUCGCCACUAAUCCCCCACCGAAGCGGGUUCAUCGUUCGACUUGCAUGUGUUAAGCACGCCGCCAGCGUUCGUCCUCGAGCCAGGACUCAAACUCUCUGACGACUACGG